rnacentral:lncRNA from 1 species
UUUUUGUUUGUUUGUCAAAAAGACUUUGCAUUGCUAUUUUGUUCUAGAGUUUGGUAAUGGCAAGGAAAAUACUUCUCCUAUUUGACAACUGUAAUAUUGGUGCUAUUAAUAGUUUGUUCUAGAAUUCUUUAUUUUCUUACUCUUAUUGGAUGUCGCAGGGAUGGAAAUAAUAAAUGUUACAUGGAAAUAAUAUAAACAUAGAAUCGUUAGUCUUUCUUGCUGCUUAAUAAUUACUUGAAGAUAAUAUGCAUGGGUUUUUGUAAAGUUUUUUUGGAAGAUUGCUAUGAUAUUAGUUAUUUUGAUGUCAAAAUAUUCUCUUCGUUGUUUUCAGUAAGCACCUACACAUAUGCUAUUGUUAUUCCUACGGAGCAAUCAAAGCAGUCAAGUUCUAUGGUUUAGCAACAAUAGUUCAAGUAAAAAAGUUCUAUGGUUGACAUUACAAUAAUAGUUUAGAUUUGUCUUAUUCCUAUCAUCUUAUUUGCUAAAAAAAUUACUGUCUUAUUCCUG